rnacentral:rRNA from 1 species
AACGUACGCUGGCGGCACGCCUAACACAUGCAAGUCGAACGCAGUAGCAAUACUGAGUGGCAGACGGGUGAGUAACAUGUGGGAAUCUGCCUUGUGGUUCAGGACAACAUUGGGAAAGCGAUGCUAAUACUGGAUAAGCCCUUACGGGGAAAGUUUUAAUGCCAUAAGAUGAGCACGCAUUUGAUUAGUUAGUUGGUGAGGUAAUGGCUCACGAAAACAAUGAUCAAUAGCUGAUCUGGGAGGAUGAUCAGCCACACUGGGACUGAGACACGGCCCAGACUCCUACGGGAGGCAGCAGUGGGGAAUCUUGCACAAUGGAGGAAACUCUGAUGCAGCGAUGCCGCGUGAGUGAAGAAGGCCUUUGGGUUGUAAAGCUCUUUUGUAGGGGAAGAUAAUGACUGUACCCUAAGAAUAAGGUCCGGCUAACUUCGUGCCAGCAGCCGCGGUAA